rnacentral:lncRNA from 1 species
CAGGGACACCCUGGGGAAUGCGGGAGAUGAAAAUUCAAGACGACGAGCAACACGAUAACAAGGUGAAAGCAGGGGCCAACGUUUCGACAA